AACAUUGCGGUCAGGGCAAUUGGUCAGCGGUCAGGACAAUCGGUCAGAGGUCAGGGAAAUCGGUCAGCGUCCGGGCAAAACAAUCUGUCAGCGGUGCGGUUUGCGUUAUUUGCUUGUGCCCGCAGCGCUUGUGUUCUUUACUUGUAUCAGAUCGCAUCAAUAGUAUGAUAACUAUAGUGCCUUUAUGGGCAAAUUGUCAAGCGGUCGCAAAUUCGCGAAUAGUCAAAUUGCAGGCUGCGUUUACUUUGACCUAACCGCAAAACGCAUCCAGUGUGACAAAUCCUUUAUCCAGGCGAUCUGGGUAUAAAUGUGGCCGAACUUUAGGUCUUCUCUAUCAUUAAAACUCUCAAGCCACGACCAUGAAGACUAUUGUCAGCAUCGUUUUGUUCAUUGCCUGUGCUGUCUUAGCGUUCGCCUCUGCGCUGCCCGGCGUACCAAAGACACAACAAGCAGCGCUAGUAGGAUGAAUCAAGUACAUUGCAUCUGAACAUCAUACUAAACAUCUUCACUAAAUAUGUUGUAAUAAUAAACAGUUUCUCUUAAAA